CUGGGGAGUACGUUCGCAAGAAUGAAACUCAAAGGAAUUGACGGGGGCCCGCACAAGCGGAGGAACAUGUGGUUUAAUUCGAUGAUACGCGAGGAACCUUACCUGGACUUAAAUGUAGAUUGACCGGUUUAGAAAUAGAUCUUCCCUUCGGGGCAAUUUACAAGGUGCUGCAUGGUUGUCGUCAGCUCGUGCCGUGAGGUGUCGGGUUAAGUCCCAUAACGAGCGCAACCCCUAUCGUUAGUUGCUAGCAGGUAAUGCUGAGGACUCUAGCGAGACUGCCACCGUAAGGUGAGAGGAAGGUGGGGAUGACGUCAAAUCAGCACGGCCCUUACGUCCAGGGCUACACACGUGUUACAAUGGCCAGUACAAAGGGCAGCUACCUGGUGACAGGAUGCUAAUCUCAAAAGCUGGUCUCAGUUCGGAUCGGAGUCUGCAACUCGACUCCGUGAAGUUGGAUUCGCUAGUAAUCGUAUAUCAGCAAUGAUACGGUGAAUACGUUCCCGGGCCUUGUACACACCGCCCGUCAAGCCAUGGAAGCCGAGGGUGCCUGAAGUACGUUACCGCAAGGAGCGUCCUAGGGUAAAAUUGGUAACUGGGGCUAAGUCGUAACAAGGUAGCCGUACCGGAAGGUGUGGCUGGAACACCUCCUUUCUGGAG
rnacentral:rRNA from 1 species